UAUAUACUCCCUCCGUCCCAAAAUUCUUGUCUUAGAUUUCUNNNNAUACGGAUGUAUCUAACACUAAAACAUGAUUAGAUAAAUUUGUAUUUAGACAAAUCUAAGACAAGAAUUUUGGGACGGAGGGAGUAUAAG
rfam:Hordeum vulgare subsp. vulgare, WGS project CAJW01000000 data, contig: morex_contig_136109